GUCACAAGACCAUCCCUUCCUCCCCCUUGGAAGGAAGCCGAUUGCUUAAGGGCUGGUGCCAUCACCCCAAUAGACAACAACUGAAUUCAAAUAAAUCCUUCAAGUGAGCCUGGUGUCCGGCGUGGAUCAGAGUUUCUCUUCCUGCCACCCGUGUGCGUUUUUUCCAAAUUUGUACACUAACCUCCGGUCAACCCGCUCCAAAAUUCCUGUUUUAUAGUAGUAUCUGUGAAAGCAAGCAAAAGAGAGAAAUCCAGAGAAGGUUUGCACCACAAGAAAACAACUGCGCACAAACGCUCCUCGCCCUCUCAGGUUCACUGCAUCGGAUUCUGCCCACUUACCUCAGGGCUCGGCUCAGCUUCUCAUACGUCAUCCUGUCGUUCUUCUUCCU